rnacentral:rRNA from 1 species
CAGAAGAGGACAGUGGAACUCCAUGUGUAGCGGUGAAAUGCGUAGAUAUAUGGAAGAACACCAGUGGCGAAGGCGGCUGUCUGGUCUGUAACUGACGCUGAGGCUCGAAAGUAUGGGUAGCAAACAGGAUUAGAUACCCUGGUAGUCCAUACCGUAAACGAUGAAUGCUAAGUGUUGGAGGGUUUCCGCCCUUCAGUGCUGCAGCUAACGCAUUAAGCAUUCCGCCUGGGGAGUACGGCCGCAAGGCUGAAACUCAAAGGAAUUGACGGGGGCCCGCACAAGCGGUGGAGCAUGUGGUUUAAUUCGAAGCUACGCGAAGAACCUUACCAGGUCUUGACAUACUAUGCAAAUCUAAGAGAUUAGACGUUCCCUUCGGGGACAUGGAUACAGGUGGUGCAUGGUUGUCGUCAGCUCGUGUCGUGAGAUGUUGGGUUAAGUCCCGCAACGAGCGCAACCCUUAUUAUCAGUUGCCAGCAUUAAGUUGGGCACUCUGGUGAGACUGCCGGUGACAAACCGGAGGAAGGUGGGGAUGACGUCAAAUCAUCAUGCCCCUUAUGACCUGGGCUACACACGUGCUACAAUGGAUGGUACAACGAGUUGCGAACUCGCGAGAGUAAGCUAAUCUCUUAAAGCCAUUCUCAGUUCGGAUUGUAGGCUGCAACUCGCCUACAUGAAGUCGGAAUCGCUAGUAAUCGUGGAUCAGCAUGCCGCGGUGAAUACGUUCCCGGGCCUUGUACACACCGCCCGUCACACCAUGAGAGUUUGUAACACCCAAAGUCGGUGGGGUAACCUUUUAGGAACCAGCCGCCUAAGGUGGGACAGAUGAUUAGGGUGAAGUCGUAACAAGGUAGCCGUA